GUUCCAUCCAUGAUGUCCAGCACUGGGCUCUAAUCCUCUAUGAAGACAUGGUGGUAGCCCCUGGGACCUGUGAGUCUGAAGAAC
rfam:Erinaceus europaeus unplaced genomic scaffold scaffold01095, whole genome shotgun sequence